AUGCCGCAUGGUGAGGCAUCUAACAUGGCCGAACUCUCACAUCCACAGUCUGAAUUGUUUGAUUGUGGUGAUGGCAUAGAGCAGUUGGAGAAUGUACUUUUGCCAGAUAAUGCAGAUGAAUCUCUUUUUUUGAAAAACAUGGCUCUGUUUUAUCUCAAGUUACAGGCAAAGCAUAUUCUCCCAUCAUCUGUGAUUCAGUCGGUAAUUGAGGGGAUGCAAGACAUCCAUGAUAUUAGCCAGUCUCAUUUGCUACUCAAGCUAGGGGAAAAAUUGAUUGCACUUGGUAUUUCUGAAAAUGAUAUAAAGAGUGUUUUGGAUGUCUUGCAAACUGAUGAUCUUUUUCGGAGGUCUAUUAUUAAUACACUUAGCACUGAUAAGAGAAGAAAGUCUUUUUAUAAAGACAAUUUUAAGUUUGUGGAUCCUGUCCCAGUCUGUCUUGGUCAAAAUGAAUCUGACAAGGAAAGCUUUGCUCAAUACAUUCCUAUUAAGAAAAGCUUAGAAGCACUGUUCUGCUGUAAAUCAGUGAUAGAACAACAUAAUAAUUCACGAUCUGAAGUCAGAGCCAAAGAUAUCCUCUCUGAUGUAUGGGAUGGCAACAAUAUUGAUGAAAAUAUGCUGUUCAAAACUGAUAAAGAUUCAUUAGCUUUAAUCUUGUAUGAAGAUGCUUUUGAAGUUGCCAAUCCACUUGGUUCUGGUAAGAAAAAGCACAAAAUUCUUGCCGUUUACAUGACACUUGCAAACCUGCUGCCUCACUGUAGGUCAGGCAUUGACCCUAUGCAGCUAGUUCUGCUGUGUAGGGAACAAGAUUUUAGAUUUUUUGGACAAGAUUUGGUCUUUGCAACUCUGGUAAAAGACCUUAAAGACCUGGAGGAAAAUGGUGUUGAGUUAGCGGAUGGAAAGGUGCACAAAGGUACAUUGUGUGCCAUAGCUGGCGAUAACCUUGGAUCACAUUACAUUGGUGGCUUUGUUGAGAAUUUCAGUAAAAGUAAAAACUUUUGCAGAUACUGUGAAAUUGACCGCCAAACAUUUAACUCAGCUCCCCUAACAAAGGCAUUAACAAGAACUGUUGAGUCGUAUGAGCAAAAUCUUAAGGAUUUGGAUGCUGAUCAAACUGAAAUUGCAAUUGGUGUCAAAUGUAAUUCUCCCUUUAAUGACCUGAAAUAUUUUCACGUUUGCCAGCCAGGAUUGCCUCCCUGUCUUGGACACGAUCUUUUUGAAGGUGUUGUGUCAUUUGACCUUGCUUUGUAUAUCGAUCAUCUUGUGAAUCAGGAGAAAUGGUUCACAUACACUGAACUAAAUCAUCGUAUUAACCAGUUUAAGUAUCUUGGGAAUGAUGCGCGUGAUAAACCAGUUGAGAUGACUCCUGGUACUGGGAAAUUAAGUGGACAUGCAGUUCAGAAUUGGUGCUUUCUCCGGCUUUAA
rnacentral:lncRNA from 1 species